GCCUCCGCGCCCGCUUAAGCUGCCGGUCGGCUCCAGGGGCCCCGGACUCCCGCUGACUCUCGGCCGGCGUGGACUAGCCGCCGCCCUUUCUUCUCACCCCGGAGCCGUGGGCGUUGGAGCGGCUGCGAUGAACCCGGUGAAUGCCACUGCUCUUUACGUGUCAGCGAGCCGCCUGGUGCUCAACUACGACCCCGGCGACCCCCAGGCCUUCUCCGAGGUCACCAAGCUCCUGCCUUACUUCCGACAGUCCCUCUCCUGCUGUGUUUGCGAGUCAUGAAGAUGUUUGUGUGACUCCCAAAUGGUUCCAAGUUCCAAGGCUCUCAGGUGCCUGGAAAUGGAAGAGGAAGGUGUCCCACUGAUUGCCUUCUUGCACUCCAGAGAUCCUUGCUGGGGUUCUCAGGUUCCUCCUUGAGGUGCUGGAGACACUGAGGCUGACCAUGCUGGCUAACAUCCAUACCCACGCAGAGGAUUCUUCUCUUGGAUUGAUUCAGGAAUUAAUGCCUGCCAUAUGUGUAGCUGUUGUAGGUGGCUGCUGCCUUAAUCCAUGCUGGCCACAUUUUAGUUCCUGUGUCAGUCUCAACUCAGACACUUGAUAAUGCAGGAUUAUACCAUUGUAAUGGACUGACCAUUACAUUCUAUAGUUUGAGGGUGAAGUAUUUCUGUCCUGUUGUAGAGAUGGGAGCUGAAGAAUCUGUUUUGAGGAAAGGAUUCUUUUCUGCCUAAACAGAGCAUAAAAUAAACAAUUAUUUAAAUCAUACUUGGUCAGAUUUAGCAAAAGACUAUAGCCAUCUAGUAGUCUCCUUACUUGGUUCAUUAGUAAAACCAGAGUAACCUGUGAGAACAAAGCCCAAGAAGAGUGCAUUUGGGGGUCACUGAUUAUCAUGGACAGAAGAUGAAGUCCCCACCAUUGUAAACCAUCAACAACCAUCAGUCAUAUUACCACUUUUAAGAUCUAUGAAAUCUAACCAAUUCCAUCAGUCUUCUGGCAGGUCACCAAAACAGAUCAUAAUCUUCCGUCUCCCCUGACUGUGUCAUAGGAUACCAUAACUUUUCUGGGUGGUGAACUGCCUAGCUAAUCCAAGAUGCCAACACCUUACACAUUUUUGGCAAUGAAUUCAUCUUUAAACCUUUCAGCGCUAGAUUUCAUUCUGCACCGUCGUCUUGGUCUUUGAGUUCCUGAAUAUUUUAACCUUUUAGUAAUACUGAACUCCAUCUCUCUUCUCCUGUGCAUUUUAGGAGAGAAGUUUAUUUAUUGUUGUAAUAUUGUGGAGAUAGCUAUUUAAUUUUGAUGGAAUGAGAACCCUUUUUGUUUUAUGCGAUUUCAGAGUACCCAGAUAACAUGAUGCAAACUUUGAAUGUCUUAGGAGUCAUUUUAAAGUACCAGUAUUUAACUCUCAAAAAGUAUUUACUUCAUUUAAAACUUUCAGAACAUGUUCUAGCCGUCAGUAGGACAGCCACAAACAUUAAUUGAAUGCAUUAACUACAUAUAGUGCUUUGAAAUCUAUAACAAAAAUAAAUUAAUGUUGCUAAUUACAAUAAAUGUAUGAAUUUUCAAAGAGAUUUAAUUAUACAUAAAGAAUGAAGAGGUAAACUACUACAAAGAGUGACACACACGUCAACUUCAGAUCAAGAAUGUGUUUAAUGACUUAAUUCAAAAACAGUUUGAAUUUUCAAAAAAAAAUUCUCUUUUGUUAUCAGAGUAAAUCUGGCAGAUUUUGAACUAAUUUUGUCAACCCAAAAAUUAGAUGUUAAAUCAAUAUUGAAUGGCUUUCUAAAACAGGGAUCGGCAACCUUUGGCACGUGGCUCGCCAGGGUAAAGCCACAUCCCUCGGCCCUUGCGGCUUCCCGCAGCCUCCAUUGGCCUGGAGCGGCGAACCGCGGCCCACGCGAUCAGCCAAACCUGC